rnacentral:rRNA from 1 species
UGGGGAAUAUUGCACAAUGGGCGAAAGCCUGAUGCAGCGACGCCGCGUGAGGGAUAACGGCCUUCGGGUUGUAAACCUCUUUCAGCAGGGAAGAAGCGCAAGUGACGGCACCUGCAGAAGAAGCACCGGCUAACUACGUG